UACGGAGGGUGCAAGCGUUAUCCGGAUUCACUGGGUUUAAAGGGUGCGUAGGCGGCUAAAUAAGUCAGUGGUGAAAGCCCGCAGCUCAACUGCGGAAUUGCCAUUGAAACUGUCUAGCUGAAUCUGGUUGAAGUGGGCGGAAUACAUCAUGUAGCGGUGAAAUGCUUAGAUAUGAUGUAGAACACCGAUUGCGAAGGCAGCUCACUAAGCCAACAUUGACGCUGAGGCACGAAAGCGUGGGUAGCGAACAGG
rnacentral:rRNA from 1 species